rnacentral:rRNA from 1 species
UGGGGAAUUUUGGACAAUGGGCGCAAGCCUGAUCCAGCAAUGCCGCGUGCAGGAUGAAGGCCUUCGGGUUGUAAACUGCUUUUGUACGGAGCGAAAAGGUCUGCCCUAAUACGGUGGGCUCAUGACGGUACCGUAAGAAUAAGCACCGGCUAACUACGUGCCAGCAGCCGCGGUAAUACGGAGGGUGCAAACGUUGCUCGGAAUCAUUGGGCGUAAAGCGCACGUAGGCGGCGAAGCAAGUCGGGUGUGAAAUCCCCGGGCUUAACCUGGGAAUUGCAUUUGUGACUGCAUCGCUGGAGUGCGGCAGAGGGGGAUGGAAUUCCGCGUGUAGCAGUGAAAUGCGUAGAUAUGCGGAGGAACACCGAUGGCGAAGGCAAUCCCCUGGACCUGUACUGACGCUCAUGCACGAAAGCGUGGGGAGCAAACA